GAGACUUGGUCCUCUCAGAUGGUAACCGCGUCAGCGCCUUCUCUGUAGCUAGUACGGCUAUUGCUGCUGCUCAGUGGUCAUCCACCCAGUCUCAAAGUGGUGAAGGAGGCAGUGUUGACUACAGUUAUCUGCAACCAGGUCAAGAUGGCUAUGCCCAAUAUGCUCAGUAUUCACAGGAUUAUCAGCAGUUUUAUCAACAACAAGCUGGAGGAUUGGAAUCUGAUGCAUCAUCUGCAUCAGGCACAGCAGUGACCACCACCUCAGCGGCUGUAGUGUCCCAGAGUCCUCAGCUGUAUAAUCAAACCUCCAAUCCACCUGGCUCUCCGACUGAGGAAGCACAGCCUAGCACUAGCACAAGUACACAGGCCCCAGCCGCUUCCCCUACUGGUGUAGUUCCUGGUACCAAAUAUGCAGUACCUGACACGUCCACUUACCAGUAUGAUGAAUCUUCAGGAUAUUACUAUGAUCCGACAACAGGGCUCUAUUAUGACCCCAACUCGCAAGUAAAUGUGCUGCUUUCCUCCUCAAUUUCACUAGAAGUAGUUUCGCUUAGUGCAUUUAUGAGGCAUAAAAUGAAAUAUUUCCUGCAAAAGAAUAUAUGACUCAGAUUAGUUUUAACUUCUUC
rnacentral:sRNA from 1 species